rnacentral:tRNA from 1 species
GCUAAGAAGUAUAGCAUCUCCCUUACACCGAGAAGUCAUCCGUGCAAAUCGGAUAA